GACGAACGCUGGCGGCGUGCUUAACACAUGCAAGUCGAACGGAAAGGCCCUGCUUUUGUGGGGUGCUCGAGUGGCGAACGGGUGAGUAACACGUGAGUAACCUGCCCUUGACUUUGGGAUAACUUCAGGAAACUGGGGCUAAUACCGUAUAGGAGCUCCUGCUGCAUGGUGGGGGUUGGAAAGUUUCGGCGGUUGGGGAUGGACUCGCGGCUUAUCAGCUUGUUGGUUGGGUAGUGGCUUACCAAGGCUUUGACGGGUAGCCGGCCUGAGAGGGUGACCGGCCACAUUGGGACUGAGAUACGGCCCAGACUCCUACGGGAGGCAGCAGUGGGGAAUAUUGCACAAUGGGCGGAAGCCUGAUGCAGCAACGCCGCGUGCGGGAUGACGGCCUUCGGGUUGUAAACCGCUUUCGCCUGUGACGAAGCGUGAGUGACGGUAAUGGGUAAAGAAGCACCGGCUAACUACGUG
rnacentral:rRNA from 1 species